UUGCUCCGUUAGCAUGAUUUGGGGUUUUUUUUCCCUUAAAUUUAAACAAACAAUGUAAGGGAAGCACAUGCUAUUGUGUAUGGUCUUUACAUGUUUACAAGUAUUCCAAUAAAAAUAAUUUCUUUCCACA